UACAGAGGGUGCGAGCGUUAAUCGGAAUUACUGGGCGUAAAGGGCACGUAGGCGGCAAUUCAAGUCAGCUGUGAAAUCUCCGGGCUUAACUCGGAACGGUCAGCUGAUACUGCUUUGCUAGAGUGCAGAAGGGGCGAUCGGAAUUCUUGGUGUAGCGGUGAAAUGCGUAGAUAUCAAGAGGAACACCUGAGGUGAAGACGGGUUGCUGGGCUGACACUGACGCUGAGGCGCGAAAGCUAGGGUAGCAAACGGG
rnacentral:rRNA from 1 species